GACGUAGGGGGCAAGCGUUGUUCGGAAUUAUUGGGCGUAAAGCGCUCGUAGGCGGGACUGGAAGUCCGUGUUGAAAGACCUCGGCUCAACUGAGGGACCGGCUCGGAUACUCUAGUUCUUGAGGCAAUCAGAGGGUGAUGGAAUUCCCGGUGUAGCGGUGAAAUGCGUAGAUAUCAGGAGGAACACCGGUGGCGAAGGCGAGUCUCGUGGACAUUUCCUGACGCUGAGGCACGAAAGCCAGGGGAGCAAACGGG
rnacentral:rRNA from 1 species